AUUGAACGCUGGCGGCAUGCCUUACACAUGCAGGUCGAACGGCAGCGCGGGGCAACCUGGCGGCGAGUGGCGAACGGGUGAGUAAUAUAUCGGAACGUACCCUGGAGUGGGGGAUAACGUAGCGAAAGUUACGCUAAUACCGCAUACGAUCUAAGGAUGAAAGUGGGGGAUUCGCAAGAACCUCAUGCUCCUGGAGCGGCCGAUAUCUGAUUAGCUAGUUGGUAGGGUAAAAGCCUACCAAGGCAUCGAUCAGUAGCUGGUCUGAGAGGACGACCAGCCACACUGGAACUGAGACACGGUCCANACUCCUACGGGAGGCAGCAGUGGGGAAUUUUGGACAAUGGGCGCAAGCCUGAUCCAGCAAUGCCGCGUGAGUGAAGAAGGCCUUCGGGUUGUAAAGCUCUUUUGUCAGGGAAGAAACGGGUUUUUCUAAUACAGAGAUCUAAUGACGGUACCUGAAGAAUAAGCACCGGCUAACUACGUGCCAGCAGCCGCGGUAAUACGUAGGGUGCAAGCGUUAAUCGGAAUUACUGGGCGUAAAGCGUGCGCAGGCGGUUUUGUAAGACUGUCGUGAAAUCCCCGGGCUCAACCUGGGAAUGGCGAUGGUGACUGCAAGGCUAGAGUUUGGCAGAGGGGGGUAGAAUUCCACGUGUAGCAGUGAAAUGCGUAGAUAUGUGGAGGAACACCGAUGGCGAAGGCAGCCCCCUGGGUCAAAACUGACGCUCAUGCACGAAAGCGUGGGGAGCAAACAGGAUUAGAUACCCUGGUAGUCCACGCCCUAAACGAUGUCUACUAGUUGUCGGGUUUUAAUUAACUUGGUAACGCAGCUAACGCGUGAAGUAGACCGCCUGGGGAGUACGGUCGCAAGAUUAAAACUCAAAGGAAUUGACGGGGACCCGCACAAGCGGUGGAUGAUGUGGAUUAAUUCGAUGCAACGCGAAAAACCUUACCUACCCUUGACAUGGCAGAAAUCCUCGAGAGAUUGAGGAGUGCUCGAAAGAGAAUCUGCACACAGGUGCUGCAUGGCUGUCGUCAGCUCGUGUCGUGAGAUGUUGGGUUAAGUCCCGCAACGAGCGCAACCCUUGUCAUUAGUUGCUACGAAAGAGCACUCUAAUGAGACUGCCGGUGACAAACCGGAGGAAGGUGGGGAUGACGUCAAGUCCUCAUGGCCCUUAUGGGUAGGGCUUCACACGUCAUAC
rnacentral:rRNA from 1 species